rnacentral:rRNA from 1 species
UCCGUGCCAGCAGCCGCGGUAAUACGGAGGGUGCGAGCGUUAAUCGGAAUUACUGGGCGUAAAAGCGCAUGCAGGCGGCCUGUUAAGUCAGAUGUGAAAGCCCCGGGGCUUAAACCUCGGAAUUGCAUUUGAAACUGGCAGGCUAGAGUCUUGUAGAGGGGGUAGAAUUUCAGGUGUAGCGGUGAAAUGCGUAGAGAUCUGAAGGAAUACCAGUGGCGAAGGCGGCCCCCUGGACAAAGACUGACGCUCAGAUGCGAAAGCGUGGGGAGCAAACAGGAUUAGAUACCCUGGUAG